rnacentral:SRP_RNA from 1 species
CCGCGCCAGGAUCGCAUAGUUUUUGGGCGGCCCUUGACUUCGGCCGCCGGCGUACAUAUAAUAGAGAGGAUAUUUGGCAGACUUGGGAAUUGCCCCUUGAAAGCUUCGCGCGGCGUGGCUUGGGCCCUGCGCAAAGCGGAACCGUGAACCUCGUCAGGUCCGGAAGGAAGCAGCGAUAAGCGGAGCUUCGCUUGUGCCGCAGACACGUCUUUUCCGCCCCGCGCGAAGCUUUCAGGGGGCGAUGGCAGGGCGCGG